rnacentral:rRNA from 1 species
GACGUAGGGUGCAAGCGUUGCCCGGAUUUACUGGGCGUAAAGAGCGCGUAGGCGGUCUGUUAAGUGUAGAGUGAAAUCUCCAGGGCUCAACCCGGAAACUGCUCUGCAUACUGGCAGACUGGAGGGACUGAGAGGUGAAUGGAAUUCCUGGUGUAGCGGUGAAAUGCGUAGAUAUCAGGAGGAACACCCAUGGCGAAGGCAGUUCACUGGCAGUCUCCUGACGCUGAGGCGCGAAAGCGUGGGUAGCAAACAGG